AAAGGGUAACAGAAAGCCCUUUUGGAAGUUUUUAAUGUUAUUUCUGCUAAAUUAGCAAUCCCUGCUUGCAAAAAUAAUUGAUUUCUCAUUCUUUAUAUUUCCAGCUUUUUGAAGGUCCCAUAGUGACGUUUCUGUGUAUUGCGUAAGCUCGGGUGCAUGCUGUGCAUUUUACGCAGCCAGGUGGUACCAGAGAAGACUAGCUAAUUCUUAAAACCCCCAUGAUUAUUAAAUUCAUUGUUUUUCUUUACUUCUGAAUGCCUGCAUCUUGAGUAAAACAUAUAUUUCCUUUUUAUAUUUUCUACAUUGAAGACUGUAUGAAAUGUGCAGGUCUAUAGGCAGCUGUAAGCAUGGUAUGACUUUCCACACAGCUGUAUGCACAUUCAUCUUAGAACAAAACACCACCACGAAUACAUGUGGAGGAAAUUAAGACUCUUUACUUGCAGUGUGCAGAAUACUGGUGCUGCUUUGUCACCUCAGUAAUGUGCUUCAAGGAGGGAAGAUUACCUCAGCAGCAAGGUAGCCCAGUCUUGGUGGUCCUACCAAAUCCAAGCUGCUUUCUUCUGAGACUUACGAUAGUGGCAGUAGUUGAUACCUCAGGUGAUGCAGGAAAGUGUUUAAUAUAUUGCCACUGUGACAGUCAUUUCACAUGAAUUGCAGAUUGCAGUUGAUCCCGUUGUGUCUCUGCAUCAGUCUUGGUCCGUUGCCUGCAAGUGGUCUGUUUGGCAUCAGAAGGUGGUCAACAGAGCAACUACAGUUUUAAAAUAAAAUGGAGCCAAACCAAAUAAAAAUGUCACAUACAUGUUCUGACACAUGCGAGCAAAGAAACAAGCUUA